UCCGUAGGCGGGUAAUUAAGUCAGAGGUGAAAUCCCACAGCUUAACUGUGGAACUGCCUUAGAUACUGGUUAUCUUAAGUUUUAGUGAAGUAGAUAGAAUGUGUAGUGUAGCGGUGAAAUGCAUAGAUAUUACACAGAAUACCGAUUGCGAAGGCAGUCUACUAACUAACAACUGACGCUAAUGGACGAAAGCGUGGGGAGCGAACAGGAUUAGAUACCCUGGUAGUCC
rnacentral:rRNA from 1 species